UUUGUCACGUUAUGGUAUUUCUCCCAUUUCCCCUUUUGCACUCGCACUCGCUCUCUCCCCGACCACACGCUCUCUCCCGGCCAACACUCUCUCCCGACGACCACUCGCUCCUCCCCGUCCAGAUCCUUUGUGCCGCCGGCCAGUCACCACCCUCUCCCUCUCGUCGGUGUCUUCCUCACUGCCGCCUUGCUCCUCGCCACCCCUAAAACUAGCAACCCGUCUCCCCCUCGUCGGUCAAAGGUGAAAUUUUUACCAGCCGGGGUGCUCGAUCUGUGGGCGGCGGUGCUCGAUCCGUGUUGGAGCAGCGGGAGGAGGAGGGCAGUUUUGGAUUGGAGCAGUGGUGCUGGACCAGAGCAGUGGGAAUAGGGGGGUGGUGCCGGCCGCUCUUACUUUGUGUAGUCCUCUUCGCUCUCGUCAUGCCGUUGCCACCGCCGAGGAAGACGGAGAGCCUGUCGGAGGGAGGAGCGCCAUGGCCAGUUCUGACCUCCUCUGUCCAGAUCCAGCUCCAGCAAUCAUCCCCUCUUGCUGCUUGCUCUCUCAAUUUCAAGACUGAAGAAGAGAACAUGGGGAGCAGCAGCUGCCCUCUGCUCUGCUCUUAUGCGAAUGCUCUACUGCAGGACCAUGGCAGCGAUGCUCGCCGAAGCGGACGACAACCACUCCCGUGCAAACAAAGGUACAGACUGGUCCUGGUUGGCGAUGAGGGCGCUCUGGCCUCUGUAGUUACAUGAGACAACAGUUCUUUGUGCAAAUGUUGACUGAAUUUGCCUCUGACUCGUCUCUGCACUUGACUGAAUUCGCCUCUUUGUGCAAUGUUGCUGCUGCAGGUGGAGUGAAGUUGAGGUCUGGGAGAUCCAUUUUCUCCUGAAGAUAUGAAUAUGUAAGAUGAAGUAGAAGUAGAAGUAGAAGUAGAAGUAGAAGUAGAAGUAGAAGUACAAGAAGAAGAAGAAGAAGAAGUACAUAUAAAUUCAGUCUGUGUACUGUCAAUUGUUGUAUGUUUACUAUCAAAGCAAGAAUUAGUCAAUUGCUGUCUGUUUACUGUCAAAGCAAGAAAGACAAUAUUAUUAUGGUCAAUUGUUGUCCGUUUACUGUCAAAGCAAGAAUUAGUUUCCUAGGUUAAUGAAACAUUACCAGCCAUAAUUAGUUUUCUGUAUCUUAAUUAUCUCUGGACAUUUUUGCCUGAAAACUGAAUGUACAAUGUUUCUGUAGAUAAUUUGGUCGAAAAGGGACGACAUGCUGAGGUGUACAACAUUCAGUUUCUCUUUCGACAUGCUGAGCUCUAUAAGUGCUCACAUUCUUUGUAUGGAUCUUAUUGAAUAAGUACUUGUUAACAUUGGUACCAUUUUCUUCAGAUUUUCGUUGGUGGUCUUCUGAUUGAUUUGGAAGGAAGAAUUGUUGGUAUGAAUUUCAUAGACGAGAAUAAAACUCCCUUUUUGCCCGUCCAGAUUGUUGGGAGAUGCCUGAAACACUUCAGAAAUUUGGGACACUUCUUUCCUGUAUAUGGGACGAUUGCUUGAAGGAUUUGGUGUUGGUGUCAUAUCCUACAUGUUUUGACAGGUGAACAGAUGGACAGUGGCUGCUCCUUGCUGAUCAAUUCAAAAUUGCUCUGGCUAUCAAUUCAAGCUUGUUGUGACUGGUGAGAAGACGUCCUGGUCAAUCACCACAUCUGAUCAAUUUCUGUCUGUGGCGAGAAGAAGUGGUACAACUCCGGCGAUCAAUUUCUUUGGCGAUUAACAAUUUGGAUCAAUUCAAACAGCAACACAGGCAGCGCUAGUGCUGCUGUUGGUCAGUGCGGGGAGGAGCACGGGCGGAGGUCAAUUGGCCGGAUCCGGAGGUCCAGUGCCUGAAUCGAGGAGCUGGAAGGCUGAGGCAGGAGGAGGAGCACAGGCUGCACUGCUGCUGCUGUUGGUUAGUGCGGGGAGGAGCACGGACGGAGGUCAAUUGGCCGGAUCCGGAGCUCCAGUGCCUGAAUCGAGGAGCUGGAAGGCUCAGGCAGGAGGAGGAGGAGCACGGGCGGCGCUGCUGCUGGUCGGUGCGGGGAGGAGCAUGGGCGGCGCGAAGGCCAGGAGUCGCGGGCGGCGCGACGGCCAGGAGUCGCGGGCGGCUGGAGGCUGUGGCGGAUGGCGAGGGAGUUGCGUACAAGUUUGGGCUCUUGAUUGGAGCGGAGGAAGGUGGCCGACGAGGAGCUGCGACCGGCGCGGACGGACGCCGGAGGUGCAGCAGUGGGAUGGAGCCUGGCGGAGGGGAGGAGCGAUGGAGUAAGAUGAAGAUCCCCGGCGACAAGAAUUUCAAAUUGAGGGUAGUUUAGUAGUUUAUCAUGUUUUCACCUGGUCGGAAAAGUUCCCCAACGACAACUAUGUCGGAACAGGGGGAGUGCAUGAAUGGAGUUGGUUGUACAGUGCAAUUUUGCGUGACCCAAAACAGACGAAAGGGAAAAGGAGAGGUGUUCGUUUGAUUGGAAACCUUGUGUUCGUACUAGUAAUGCAAUAACAUAUUAUAUUUUAUUCA